GAAGUUGGCCGGGCAGUCGCCGGCGGGAAUGAUCCCGUCGGAGGAAAGUCCGGGCUCCACAGGGCAGGAUGCCGGCUAACGGCCGGACGCCGUGAGGCGAUGGAAAGUGGCACAGAAAACACACCGCCGGUCCCGACUCGGACUUCGCCGCCGCAAGGCGGCAAAGUUCCCCAAGCAGGGUGGCGACCGGUAAGGGUGAAAUGGCGCGCGCGCCUCAGGGCGUGCGGUUUCCCGGCUUGGCGGGAAACAGGUAAGAGCUCACCGCGGCUGUGGUAACACGGUCGGCAGGCUAAACCCCAUCCGGAGCAAGACCGAAUAGGCAAGCGAUGACGCGGCCCGUCGAGCUUGCGGGUAGGUUGCUUGAGCCUCGGGGUAACCCCAGGCCUAGAGGAAUGACUGUCACAGGAGGCAACUCCUGACAGAACCCGGCUUACAGGCCAACUUCGCUU
rfam:Betaproteobacteria bacterium RIFCSPLOWO2_12_FTLL_63_13 rifcsplowo2_12_scaffold_2728, whole genome shotgun sequence.